AAGCGCCUGCGGUGCCCGUGAUAGGAACCUUAUAUUUUUGAACCAACACCAAGCGAAAGGGAUCCCCACAUCCGCAGGUGGAGAUCAGGCUGCCCGAAAGGGGAGUAGAUUGAAACAGGCGUGCGGGAACCCACCUGUGAUAACAGGUUCAAAAUUUCGCUUCCUACACGGCAUUCGCGGGUAUUAU
rnacentral:other from 1 species